GAAGGCAAGCAGCAGCCGCCACCACUGCCGCCACCGCCACUGCCACCACCACCACCACCGCUACUCCUUGGGAAGAUAUUUUUGGGGCUGAUACUCCCAGAUAAAGAAGGGUAACCAGGUGUGGUAGGAAGGAGUCCAGGGAAGGAGCAGUGAGGGCUGAGAUACGAAAGUCCAGAACUGCUGAGCUGAGGGUCCCUGAACUGGAAUCAGGAGUUGAGGGUGGACGUGGGUUCCCCUACCAGCUAUUGGGACAGUGAGAGAAUGUUUUUACUUCGGAGGUUGGGGCAGUGAUACCAUGUAUUAAUUUGAGUUUUGGAAAGAGAGAGUGAAUUGAGUUCAUCUAUUUUUCCUUCCUUGAAGAUGGAGACUCAAAUUCUGAUUGUGUUUAAAGAUUGCUGUGGUUAUCUCGUCAUACUCUCCUUUCUCUACAUCUUAGAAACACCACACAGUUGGAAACCUGUGCUCCAGUGGAAUAGUGUAACUCUUUCAGAUCAGGCCUGAAGUGCAUUGGCGCAGCCAUGUGUAACAGUGUCUCACUCAAGCCAGUGUGAUUAGUAUUUCAUCGUAUUCAACAUGAUAUUCAUUUACAA